rnacentral:rRNA from 1 species
AGAACGAACGCUGGCGGCAGGCUUAACACAUGCAAGUCGAACGCUCGGAGCAAUCCGGGAGUGGCAGACGGGUGAGUAACGCGUGGGAAUAUACCCUUCGGUUCGGAAUAACUUGGGGAAACUCAAGCUAAUACCGAAUACGGCCUAUGGGCGAAAGAUUGAUCGCCGAGGGAAUAGCCCGCGUCCGAUUAGCUAGUUGGUGAGGUAAUGGCUCACCAAGGCGACGAUCGGUAGCUGGUCUGAGAGGAUGACCAGCCACAUUGGGACUGAGACACGGCCCAAACUCCUACGGGAGGCAGCAGUGGGGAAUAUUGGACAAUGGGCGCAAGCCUGAUCCAGCCAUGCCGCGUGAGUGAUGAAGGCCUUAGGGUUGUAAAGCUCUUUCGCACGCGACGAUAAUGACGGUAGCGUGAGAAGAAGCCCGGCUAACUUCGCGCCAGCAGCCGC